ACUGCCUGAUAACAGGCUGUUAGCUGCUUUAUCGCUCGGGAGAGAGAGGCCAAAAUAAGCAGAUCUGUGAGCACAGGAGCCCAAUCAUGCUCUGGCCCAGUCUUUAUUUUUAGAUGCCUUUUUCCUGGUUGAUUUCAGUGAUAACUGAAGGAUUUGGCAGGUGUGGGGUGGGGGAGGCUGCGUAGAAAGAGGAGAGAUUAUUCAACACGGGUUGGGGGGCUGUUUCAUUCACACAUGGCAUUGAUAAAUAAAGAAGAGGAAUAAAAGGAGUGGAAAUGACUUGGUUUCCUGGGCUUCCAUUCUCCUCACUGGCCCUUGCUCAGUGAAUUUCACCUCGUCUGUCUCUGUGCCCCUGUGGGAACAAUCCCAGUAGCAGCUCACAGCCUGCUGCCGGCCCGUGAAAUGCAAUCAGAGUGAUGCGGACACGGCACGCUGGGGCAAACUGACUCUUUCCAUUUCGUCCUGAAAACAGAACUAACAUCCUCAAGGUGGUGGACUUUGGUUCAGAGGAAUUAAAGAAGAACAAUCCCCUCUGCAGAAGAGACUGGAGACAGCAAUAGAGACCAGGACAACUCUGCAUGCACACACCACACUGGCAGCUCUAGGUGCACAAGACCAAAUCCUCAGCUGGUGUAAAUGGGUGCAGCUCCAUUGGCUUCAAUGGACAUAAACUGAUUCAUACCAGCUGUGGAUCUGGCCUAUAGUAUCUCUACUGCUGUUCUGUGCUUCCCUUUCUCAGCAGCUCAGGAUGCUGAUCUUCCUAUUCUUGCUUGUCAGAGGGAAAAUGGGGAUUCAUGGGGCCAUUUUCUCUUCUUUUGGCUGCCUGACUGGUAUUUAAGGGAGGCGGGGUGGAGGGGAACCUAGGUCCUUGGUGUGAAUGCAGUUGAAAGGGUUACAGGGAAAUGCAAACAAAAACAAUAUGCAAAUGAGGCUGCCAGCAACAGGUAGACUUAAUCAGAUGCUGUCAGAUGAAUUCAGCAUCUCCCCAAUUGUCGCCUGUGUUAGCCUCCCAUUCGGAAGCCCUCAUCUGCUCCAGAUGUGGUUUAAUUUACUGCGACUUGGCUAAUUACUGUAAUUAAGGAUUAAUUACUGUUAAUUACUUUCACAUAAACUCAACGCCAGUCAAAGAGCGGAGCCUUAUGAAGCCUGCCACAUAAGUGAACACAAGCACAGCAGCCUGGGUGGGCAUGGCAGGUCUCUUUAUUCGCCUGGACGGCUGUGCUGUGCCGUGGCCUCAUGUUGGCAGGGCUAGGGGGGCAAUGCCUCGCCCCUCAUAGAGCGUCACCUAUCCACAGUCCUCUGUGUGCAGUGGGGCGGCAGAAGGGUGGCCGUGGCAGGAGUCCAGAUGGCAGGCAACGAGGCAGCCAUUUGUAUUUUAAUCUUUUUUUUUUUUUUUUUUUUUCUGUAUGGCAAACCCCAGUUUUGGGGGAAGAAAAAGAGAAAACAUCCCUGAUUGGGACUGUCAGGCAGAUGAGCUGUUAAAAGCAAAGCCCCGGUGUUGAGGAACUGCAGCCUUCCACCCCCAGGUUAGGAAAGCAAAUGUAUUUGGAGGUAGCAAGCGUCUCUAAUCAAGCAAAUGCUUGAAAAGUAACCUCUGGUUUUGUGUGUGUGUGUGUAUGUGUGCCCACGCUGCUGCAACCUCUCUCAUCACUCCCAGUCACACCCUCCUCCCCACUGCUUUCUGAUCUCUUCUUGUUUUUGACCUGCGUAUCUUGACUUCAGACUGUCUCUUGCACACAACCCUUACAUUCACGCAGAAGGCAUUUCAGCAUUAUAGCCAGACCAAAAUAUGGCAGUGUAGCUAACGGGCAGGCUCUCCAGGAAAGCAAGUGACGUGUGCCUACAAUUAAUAUAUGGAGCAGCAAUAUGCAUAUAUCUCCUCUUGUGUAGGCCUAACUAGAGAAUGUGAGAUGUGUAUAUCUCUACUGGGGGAUGAUAGGCACCUGCCCUUGCAUGUGGAUAGACUGGACGGUCUGUUAGUCUGACUAGAUUAUUAAUCUGUAUUGUACGAGUUUAAUAGUUUUGAGGGCUUUUUCUGUGUUGGUCUUCCUUGAUUGUGUAUGUAUUAUGUACUGUGUGUGUAUUGUAUUGUAUUUACUCUGUCAGUGUAUUGUGUGUGUAUAGUAACUAUGCAUGCAUGGUAACAUAAGAUCUCAGUAUGAAAUACAUAAAAGAUGUAAUCCUG